rnacentral:rRNA from 1 species
GCUUAGUGGCGCACGGGUGCGUGAACGCGUGGGAAUCUGCCCAAAGGUACGGAAUAACUCCUCGAAAGGGGGGCUAAUACCGUAUGAUGUCGCAAGACCAAAGAUUUAUCGCCUUUGGAUGAGCCCGCGUAAGAUUAGCUUGUUGGUGGGGUAAAGGCCUGCCAAGGCGACGAUCUUUAGCUGGUCUGAGAGGAUGAUCAGCCACACUGGGACUGAGACACGGCCCAGACUCCUACGGGAGGCAGCAGUGGGGAAUAUUGGACAAUGGGCGAAAGCCUGAUCCAGCAAUGCCGCGUGAGUGAUGAAGGCCUUAGGGUUGUAAAGCUCUUUUACCCGGGAAGAUAAUGACUGUACCGGGAGAAUAAGCCCCGGCUAACUCCGUGCCAGCAGCCGCGGUAAUACGGAGGGGGCUAGCGUUGUUCGGAAUUACUGGGCGUAAAGCGCACGUAGGCGGCUUUGUAAGUUAGAGGUGAAAGCCUGGAGCUCAACUCCAGAAUUGCCUUUAAGACUGCAUCGCUUGAAUCGCGGAGAGGUGAGUGGAAUUCCGAGUGUAGAGGUGAAAUUCGUAGAUAUUCGGAAGAACACCAGUGGCGAAGGCGGCUCACUGGACGCGUAUUGACGCUGAGGUGCGAAAGCGUGGGGAGCAAACA